UGUGAUGAUGAGGUUGUUGAUUAAUCUCGUUAAUCUGAUGAUAUAUGAGGAUAAACUCACUAUCCACUCUUAAUCCACUGAGC